rnacentral:misc_RNA from 1 species
AGUUUGUCCGAGAGUAUUUCACAAGGAGAAAACCAACAUAGUUUCAUACAUUUGGAUUAUGUGGCAACAGAAAUGAUGAGAUUAGAGAAGAUGUUGGCGGUGGAAGUGCCUCAGAAACUGUUCCAGCUGUAUAUAUGAAUCCUAAAAGCCUCUGAACACCAGCAUAGCUCAGUUCGGAUAGCAUGGAACUCAGAUCGAUGGAAGGCUGAGAAACCAGCUUCUUAACACUGAUAGCAAGAACACCAUUUGACCUUUCUUUCUCUUCUGAGUAAAAUUUCCGGUAAACUUGGACACCUUCUUCAGUGGUAUCCACUCCAGGAAGAACUUCUUUAAGACUCUCUGCUUCUAACAUCUCACGAAAUGAAUGAUAAUGACGGACAUCCUGAACUUGAAGAACUAAACAUUUGUUGAUGAGG